rnacentral:rRNA from 1 species
CAAUAGCGUAUAUUAAAGUUGUUGCAGUUAAAAGCUCGUAGUCGGAUUUCGGGUCGGGCCGAGCGGUCUGCCGAUGGGUAUGCACUGUUUGGCGCGGCCUUCUUUCCGGAGACCGCGGCUACUCUUAACUGAGCGGGCGUGGGAGACGGAUCGUUUACUUUGAAAAAUCAGAGUGUUUCUAGCAGGCAGCUCGCUCUUGCAUAGGUUAGCAUGGGAUAAUUUAAUAGGACUCUGGUGCUAUUUUGUUGGUUUCUAGAACAUAUGCAAUGAUUAAUAGGGAUAAUUGGGGGCACUCGUAUUAACGCGUCAGAGGUGGAAUUCUUAGAUUGCGUUACGACGAACUACUGCGAAAGCAUUUGCCAAGGAUGUUUUCAUUGAUCAAGAACGAAAGUAUGGGGAUCGAAGACGAUCAGAUACCAU